rnacentral:rRNA from 1 species
UACGGGGGGGGCAAGCGUUGUUCGGAAUUACUGGGCGUAAAGGGCUCGUAGGCGGCCAACUAAGUCAGACGUGAAAUCCCCAGGCUUAACCUGGGAACUGCGUCUGAUACUGGAUGGCUUGAAUUCGGGAGAGGGAUGCAGAAUUCCAGGUGUAGCGGUGAAAUGCGUAGAUAUCUGGAGGAAUACCGGUGGCGAAGGCGGCAUCCUGGACCGACAUUGACGCUGAGGAGCGAAAGCUAGGGGAGCAAACGGGG